AGACGUCUACAUUAGAUACCCGUGUAGUCCUAGCCGUAAACGAUACUCGCUAGGUGUCGGCCACGGUGCGACCGUUGUCGGUGCCGUAGGGAAGCCGUGAAGCGAGCCACCUGGGAAGUACGGCCGCAAGGCUGAAACUUAAAGGAAUUGGCGGGGGAGCACCACAACGGGUGGAGCUUGCGGUUUAAUUGGAUUCAACGCCGGAAAUCUUACCGGGACCGACAGCAAUAUGAAGGCCAGGCUGAAGACUUUGCCGGAUUAGCUG
rnacentral:rRNA from 1 species